rnacentral:rRNA from 1 species
UACGUAGGGCGCAAGCGUUGUCCGGAAUUAUUGGGCGUAAAGAGCUCGUAGGCGGCCUGUUACGUCUGCUGUGAAAUCCCGGGGCUUAACCCCGGGCGUGCAGUGGAUACGGGCAGGCUGGAGGCAGGCAGGGGAGACUGGAAUUCCUGGUGUAGCGGUGAAAUGCGCAGAUAUCAGGAGGAACACCGGUGGCGAAGGCGGGUCUCUGGGCCGUAACUGACGCUGAGGAGCGAAAGCGUGGGGAGCGAACAGG